rnacentral:lncRNA from 1 species
AACAACAACAACAACAACAAACCCAGUGUAUUCCCACUUAGUGGGGUCUGGGGGGGGGGGAUGUACGCAGUCCAUACCUCUACCUCUGAUGAAGUAGAAAGGCUGUUUCCGAAAGACCCCCGGCUCAAGUCACGAGAUAUCACACAAACACAUAGUACAGCACAGAAGCAGAUGACAUAACAUAGAUACGGCACCCAUAAGGAAUAUAAAACAGAGUAAAGCAGGAAUGCAGGAAUAUAAAGCAGAGGAAAGCACACAGAUUCGUAAUAAACAUGGAACACGGAACACGGAACACUGAAUACGGGAUCAUAACAGGAAUACACCCCCCCAAUUAAUUCCCUACCCUAGCGACCCGAACUGGCCCUAAUCCUCUGCCGUAAUUCGCAUCUUCCAGACCUUCCUAUCUAGGGUCAUGUCCUCGGUGAGCUGUAACUGUUCCAUGUCCCGCCUAAUCACCUCACCCCAGUACUUCUUCGGUCUACCCCUACCCCGUCUAAAACCAUUCAACGCUAGCCUCUCACACCUACGGACCGGGGCAUCCAUGCCCCUCCUCUUCAC